rnacentral:misc_RNA from 1 species
GGAAUCUACCUGUCUUUUAAUGAGCUUAGCGGGUCUAUUCCUGGUGAAAUUGGGCGUUCUUGUGAGAAACUUCAAAGUCUAGAGAUGGCAGGUAAUAUCUUAGGUGGUGUUAUUCCAAAAAGUUUAGGGAACUGCACACGGUUGCAGUCACUUGUCUUAUAUUCAAAUUUGUUGGAAGAGGCUAUUCCAGCUGAAUUUGGUCAACUAACUGAGCUCGAGAUUCUUGAUUUGUCUAGGAACAGCCUAAGUGGUCGACUACCAUCUGAGCUGGGAAACUGCUCGAAACUAUCCAUUCUUGUACUGUCAAGUUUGUGGGAUCCCCUUCCAAAUGUGUCUGAUUCAGCUCAUACUACUGAUGAGUUUAACUUUUUUGAAGGCACAAUCCCAUCAGAGAUCACCAGGCUUCCUAGUUUGAGAAUGAUAUGGGCUCCCAGGUCAACUCUUUCAGGAAAAUUUCCUGGCAGUUGGGGUGCUUGUGACAAUUUGGAGAUCGUGAACUUGGCUCAAAAUUAUUAUACUGGAGUGAUUUCUGAGGAAUUGGGUAGCUGCCAGAAGUUGCAUUUUCU